GCGGGCAGCAAGAAAGGCAGACGAGCCGCACCCAACAACAGAGCAGCAAGCCGGAGCAAGCCCAUAGCUCCUAAACAACCUGUACAAAGAUGUGUCUUUGCGAUACGGCGACGGGAGUGUUGAUACUGGGAAUUGCCUGCCUCUUCGCGAAUGUAGCUAUGGCUUCGUAUGAUUACUCUUCCCUGAAAUUUG